AUUGAACGCUGGCGGCAGGCCUAACACAUGCAAGUCGAACGAGUGGCGGACGGGUGAGUAAUGUCUGGGACACUGCCUGCUGGAGGGGGAUAACUACUGGAAACGGUAGCUAAUACCGCAUACCAUCGGAUGUGCCCAGCUGGGAUUAGCUAGUAGGUGGGGUAAAGGCUCACCUAGGCGACGAUCCCUAGAUGGUCUGAGAGGAUGACCAGCCACACUGGAACUGAGAAACGGUCAAGACUCCUACGGGAGGAAGGAGUGGGGAAGAUUGGACAAUGGGCGCAAGCCUGAUGCAGCCAUGCCGCGUGGAUGAAGAAGGCCUUCGGGUUGUAAAGUACUUUCAGCGGGGAGGCGUUACCCGCAGAAGAAGCACCGGCUAACUCCGUGCCAGCAGCCGCGGUAAUAC
rnacentral:rRNA from 1 species